rfam:Populus trichocarpa scaffold_19_contig_245, whole genome shotgun sequence.
UCUAGAACUCAAGAUAUAGGCUGAACACUAAACAGUGUCUGGGCUGCAGGACAUAUUCCGACUUCUCCGUUGUUGCUAAGAUUUGGACUUCCAAACAGCAGAAUUGAGUCUUUCACUUAUCAUGAAUGUUUUAGGCCUAUGUCUUAGCUUUCUAGC